UUACCAACUUGGGCUAUUUGGCAGUGAUUAAGACCACACUCCACAGUGGGCUAUACCACUUAGUGUGGUUCAUUACUAUCUUGUGACCUACACU
rnacentral:snoRNA from 1 species